rnacentral:rRNA from 1 species
UUAACCGUAUAGGGGAGCCGUAGGGAAACCGAGUCUUAACCGGGCGUUAAGUUGCAGGGUAUAGACCCGAAACCCGGUGAUCUAGCCAUGGGCAGGUUGAAGGUUGGGUAACACUAACUGGAGGACCGAACCGACUAAUGUUGAAAAAUUAGCGGAUGACCUGUGGCUGGGGGUGAAAGGCCAAUCAAACCGGGAGAUAGCUGGUUCUCCCCGAAAGCUAUUUAGGUAGCGCCUCGUGAAUUCAUCUCCGGGGGUAGAGCA